AGGGUAUUAUCUUAAUGGUAAAGAAGAGCAUUACGGCCGCUAAGAUAUAGGUUCAAAUCCUAUAUACCCUU
rfam:Colletotrichum tofieldiae strain 0861 Ct_v4_contig117, whole genome shotgun sequence.